rnacentral:lncRNA from 1 species
CAGGUUCUGUGACACUGCUUUGCUUGGGAUCACCACAAUGCCUGAUACGUAUUAAAUAAUUAACAUUAAUUAAUUUAGCAAUUUUUUUUUAGUAGUCGUCUGAGGACAAAUUUCUUGGUCUAUUUGGGCAGAGAUGCAGACGAAAACAACACUGAGAUUCCACCUCACCCCAGAAAGAAUGGCUGCUAUCAAGAUAUCAACCAAUAAUACACGACUCUUAUUAACAAGAAUGGGGGAAAGAAGAAAUGAAAAGAAAGAGGGAGCGAGGGGAAGAAACAAAACAGAAUGUUUUGGAAAGACAGUUCACUCGUCCUCCUAUUUCUCACCACAAGGAGCAAACUAAGGGAAGAAGUAUCUCUAAUAAAAACAGCACUCCA